UUGAAAUUCCAUUUGUAAAUUUUAUUAAAUUCAUGGAACUCAGCAUACAUACAUAUAUUUAUGUAUAUGUCUACAACUUGUACUUUUACGAUAACAGUGAAUUUAGUGCUUAAAAUGUUGAUGUAGUUUGAAAUCUUGUGCCACAUCCUUUGCCUGGAAUCCACCUUAUGGUGUGCAGGCACCUGAAGUUGAUCCAUCCUGCAAUCACAAAACAAACCAUAUUUUUUUACUAUAUACCUAACUUCGAAGGUUUACAGAUAUUUAAGAGUGGGGUUGGACACAAAUAAUUGAGCUCAAAAUACAUAUAAAAAUAUGGUUUAUAUUAAUCUAAGAACUAUAUUCAUUGCAAAAUGUAAUUUUGACUUACCACACAUGCAUGAAUAUCAUCACAUCCACAUAAUAGCUUCCCAUUCAAAGUAUCGACAGCUUGG
rnacentral:lncRNA from 1 species